rnacentral:tRNA from 1 species
GUUAAUGUAAUUCAACAAGAAUAUCAGAAUGUGAUCCUGAAAAUAAGUACUAACUUCAUUAACC